GUAGGGAAUAUUGGUAAUGGGCGAAAGCCUGAACCAGCAACGCCGCGUGUGCGAUGAAGGCCUUCGGGUUGUAAAGCACUUUUUGAGGGGAUGAGGAAGGACAGUACCCUCAGAAUAAGUCUCGGCUAACUACGUGCCAGCAGCCGCGGUAACACGUAGGAGACUAGCGUUAUCCGGAUUUACUGGGCGUAAAGCGCGUGCAGGUGGCUCGGAAAGUUCGAUGUGAAAGCUCCCGGCUUAACUGGGAGAGGUCGUUGAAUACUUUCGGGCGAGAGGAUGGGAGAGGGAGGCGGAAUUCCGGGUGUAGUGGUGAAAUGCGUAGAUAUCCGGAGGAACAACAGUGGCGAAAGCGGCCUCCUGGACCAUUUAUGACACUCAGACGCGAAAGCUAGGGUAGCAAACGG
rnacentral:rRNA from 1 species